GAUGAAGAACGUAGCGAAAUGCGAUACGUAAUGUGAAUUGCAGAUUUCAGUGAAUCAUCGAAUCUUUGAACGCACAUUGCGCCCGCCAGUAUUCUGGCGGGCAUGCCUGUUCGAGCGUCAUUUCAACCAUCAAGCGCCUCGCUUGUGUUGGGGCCCUGCGGCUGCCGCAGGCCCCUAAAUCCAGUGGCGGGCUCGUCGUCGUACCGAGUGCAGUAAACAUCCUCGCUCAGGGAACCCGACGGGUGCCGGCCGUGAAACCCCCCCUCCUCAAGGUUGACCUCGGAUCAGGUAGGAAUACCCGCUGAACUUAAGCAUAUCAAUAAGCAGAGA
rnacentral:misc_RNA from 1 species